UACGUAGGGUGCAAGCGUUAAUCGGAAUUACUGGGCGUAAAGCGUGCGCAGGCGGUUUUGUAAGUCUGAUGUGAAAUCCCCGGGCUCAACCUGGGAAUUGCAUUGGAGACUGCAAGGCUAGAAUCUGGCAGAGGGGGGGUAGAAUUCCACGUGUAGCAGUGAAAUGCGUAGAGAUGUGGAGGAACACCGAUGGCGAAGGCAGCCCCCCUGGGUCAAGAUUGACGCUCAUGCACGAAAGCGUGGGGAGCAAACAGG
rnacentral:rRNA from 1 species